CGGGCCUUCGGGUUGWMWCCUCUUUCAGUASGGRASAAGCGAAAGUGACGGYCCCUGCASAASAWKCRCCGGCUAACUACGUGSCARCMGCYKCGGUAAUACGUASGGUGCRAGCGUUAUCCGGAAUUAUUGKGCGYAMMGAGCUCGUAGGCGGUUUGUCGCGUCUGUCGUGARAGUCCGGSGCUUAACCCCGGAUCUGCGGUGGGUACGGGCAGACUASAGUGCAGUAGGGGAGACUGGAAUUCCUGGUGUAGCGGUGGAAUGCGCAGAUAUCAGGAGGAACACCGAUGGCGAAGGCAGGUCUCUGGGUMCUGACGCUGAGGAGCGAAAGCAUGGGGAGCGAACAGGAUUAGAUACCCUGGUAGUCCAUGCCGUAAACGUUGGGCACUAGGUGUGGGGACCAUUCCACGGUUUCCGCGCCGCAGCUAACGCAUUAAGUGCCCCGCCUGGGGAGUACGGCCGCAAGGCUAAAACUCAAAGGAAUUGACGGGGGCCCGCACAAGCGGCGGAGCAUGCGGAUUAAUUCGAUGCAACGCGAAGAACCUUACCAAGGCUUGACAUGUUCUCGAUCGCCGUAGAGAUACGGUUUCCCCUUUGGGGCGGGUUCACAGGUGGUGCAUGGUUGUCGUCAGCUCGUGUCGUGAGAUGUUGGGUUAAGUCCCGCAACGAGCGCAACCCUCGUUCCAUGUUGCCAGCACGUAAUGGUGGGGACUCAUGGGAGACUGCCGGGGUCAACUCGGAGGAAGGUGAGGACGACGUCAAAUCAUCAUGCCCCUUAUGUCUUGGGCUUCACGCAUGCUACAAUGGCCGGUACAAUGGGUUGCGAUACUGUGAGGUGGAGCUAAUCCCAAAAAGCCGGUCUCAGUUCGGAUUGGRGUCUGCAACUCGACCCCAUGAAGUCGGAGUCGCUAGUAAUCGCAGAUCAGCAACGCUGCGGUGAAUACGUUCCCGGGCCUUGUACACACC
rnacentral:rRNA from 1 species